GGUCACAGCCAUAAUCAUCCUGCAGCCCAAGACUGGUUACUCACUGAAUCUAAGUAGGGCUGAGCUUGGUCAGUACCUGGAUAGGAGACCACAUGGGAAAACUAGGUUGCUGUUGGAA
rnacentral:rRNA from 1 species